rnacentral:lncRNA from 10 species
UUUUGUGGUUUCAUAAUUUUUUUUUAUUUCUGUGAAGAAUGUCAUUGGUAUUUUUAUAGGGAUUACGUUGAUCUCUUUGGGUAGUAUGGACAUUUUAACAACUUAAUUCCCCAAGUCUAUCAACAUGGGAUAUCCUUACAGUUAUUUGUGUCCUCUUCAAUUUCCUUCAUCAAUAUUUUAUAACUUUUAGUGUAGAGAUCUUUCAUCUCCUUAGUUAAAUUUAUUCCUGAGUAUUUUUUGUAGAUACUUGUAUUAUAAAUGGGAUAGUUUUCUUCAUUUCUUUUUCAGAUAGUUUGCUGUUAGAGUAUAGAAAUGCUACUAUUUUUGUAUGUUGAUGUGUAUCCUGCAACUUUACUGAAUUUGCUUAUUAGUGCUAACAGUUUUUUGGUGGUGCCUUUAGGGUUUUCUAUACAUGAGGUCAUGGCAUCUGCAGACAGGAACAAUUUAACUUCUUUCUUUCCAAUUUAGAGGCCUUUUAUUUCUUUCUCUUGCCUAAUUGCUCUGGCUAGGACCUCUAGUCCUACAUUAAUUUCUAGUGGCUAUUUUAAAGAAAUCCUCCUUUAGAGAAGUGGUAUAUAAAGUUUUUCACAAUGAUAAAUAUAUAGGAUAUGAAUAUUUGUCUGGCACAUUUGAGGGAGGCACUCUCAGCCAGAGGCAACAGACCUAGGGGUUUUGGAGGAAUGGCAAAGUGGUAUUUCGUGGCACAAUGUUUGGAAAAUUCUGCUUGGAUAUCUUGAAGGAAAGGGGAAAGGAAACUAGCAUUUUUUAGCUCCUGUAUGCCUGGCAUUAUCUUAGAACUAAGACUUUUUCUCUUGUACCACAAUCUAUUAAGCAUAGAUAGGUGUGUAUUAAUUCCUCUAUUCUAAAGAAAAACAAACUGAGAUAGCCAGAUUUAAAUCAAAUCUCCUCCACAGGUAGUAAGGGCCUAGAACUGAACUGAUCUUUUUGGCUUCCAAGUCCAACUUUUUUUUACCAUUGCCUCAAAUGGUAGCCCAUAUAUAUCUCAAAAGCUAAGAAGCAUUCAAGAACUCAAAUGACACAACUUUUCCUAGGUGCAUUUUGGCUUCAACCCUAGUUACUGAGUAUUCCAAAUACAAUCCCAUUUGUGGUAGCUAGUCUCCAGGCUGGCUCUCAGUGAUCCUGCCUCCUGUUAUUCAUGCUCUGCUAUUUGUCCUCUCACAUUGUAUCAGGAUUGGUCUGUAUCACCAGUAAAAUACAGAAAGAGUGAUGGAAUGUGACUUCAAAGGUUAGGGCACUCACUCUGGGGGAAACCAGUUACCAUGUGGUGGGGACACUUGAGCAAUUCCACAGAAAGGCCCACAUGGUAAAAUAACAAGUCACGGCAAUAAGCCAUAUUGGAAGCAGGUCCCUCAGCCCCAGUCAAACCUUGAGAUGACUGCAGUCCUAGCUGAUGUCUUGAUUCCAACCUUAUGAGACAUCCUGAGUCAGAGUCCCCCAGCUGAUCUACUCCCAAAUUCCUGAUCCACAGAAACUAUGAAAUAAUGCAUGUUGGUUUUUUUAAGCCACUAAUUGUUGUAGUAAUCGGUUACACACCAAUAUAUAACUAGUAUAGGUUUCUAUCAUACAGAUGAAGAAAAACAAAACAAAAACAGUAGACAUUUGCCUCUAUUGUUAUUUACAUUGAUAUAGACCAUAGUCACAAGAGGCAGGAAAAAGCAAGAUUUUUGCUACACUUUCCAAAUAUUAUUAACUUUUUAAUUUGUUUUAUUAAGGACUCGUUCUGAAAAUAAAACCAAAAUAGCAGUUCGAGGUAACUUCCACUACAAAGUGAAGAAAAGUAUCUUUAUGGAUUUGAUGUUUGAACCAGUGUGACUGAGAAAUAAAAUAAUCUACCAAGCGGGCAAAAGUGGUUUUGUAAAUUAAGUUCAAUGUUGUCAUGACAUAAAGCAUUAGAUGACAAACUACUUCUGCACACUAGAGAUAAAGCUCAUGUUUGCUCAUUGGUCUAUCAAAUAGAAAACAAGGACCAUCUGUUAAUUACCACCAGAAGACUAGAAAAAGAGAAGAUAAAUGGAAUUUAAUCUUCCUCUAUCCAAGGUGAGGAUAAGAGAAGACGAUCAUCUGUAAACCAGGAAGUGGUUCAUAGAAACCAGAAAUAGGAUCCCCUGGCACCUAGAUCUUGGACUUUCCCGGCCUCCAGAACUGUUUUUAGCAUGAAGUAGCCAUAAGAAGAAAACAAUGUUUCAGAGACUCUGAAAGCAAGAGAGAUCCGGAAACCUCAGAUCUCCCACUAAACUUCAGCCUGUCUGCUAGUAUGAUAGUAUCAAUUUAUUACUGAAGGUUAUUAUACAUUUGAGCCAAAGUGAAAGAAGAGGUCAAAAUAGCUUCCCUACUCAACGUUUCAAACUCAAACUUUAUUUAGGUUGUGAUUAGCAAAGUGAAACCAGGGGCAUCAUUUUCACCAAAAAUUAGUGCCUUUCACCCUGACCCCACAGAGCUAUUUAUCCAGAGCCAUCAUAAAAUCAUCUAGAUAUUGACCUCUUACAUCCAGGUUUCCUAGCAGUGAUCUAAUUCCUAGCAUAUCUGGAGCACAACUUCCCUUUUGCUCAUCCCUGUGGCUGCACAAGCAGUAGGGAAGUGGUGUUGAGGAUGUCUGGAGGGAAGGACAAGAGAUGACAUCUGUUCCAUCUCCUUUCCCCAGCCAUUCUUGGGCAGAUUGGGUUACAUCUGAAAAAUUUCCUGACUUGUUUCCUCCAACAUGGUUACCACAUAGGUAACCAUGAUUGUUAGUUAAUCCCGGUUAUUUAGUCAAACACUAAUCUAGGUGUUGCUGUGAAGGUAUUUUGUAGAUAUUAUUAACAAACAAUCAGUUGACUUUAAACAAAGCAACUACCCUUGAUAAGUGGGGGCCCCUCAUCCAAUCAGUUGAAGGUCUUAAGAGCAGAAAACAGAGGUUUCCUGGAGAAGAAGGAAUUCCACAAGACUGAAACAUCAACUACUGCCUCAGUUUCUAGGCUGCCAGAUUACCUGCCCUACAAAUUCUGGACUUAUCAGCCCCCACAAUCGUAUGAAGUCAAUUCUUUAAACUAAGUCUCUUUGUAUAUGUGUAAUAUACAUAUUGGUUCUGUUUCUCGGAAGAACCCUGACUGACACAGAGCUUUAUUCCAUUCUUGCUUCUUCCUCAUUGGAUUGUAUGUCGUGAAUUAAAAGAAAGAGUCAUGAAUAGACCAGCCUGUUCAUAUUGGGGAACUAUGGUUCUAAGAACUACAUUCAGUACUUGGGAGGAUUCCUGGAGAAAACCAGAACAUUGUUUUGUCCAGUGUUUGGCUGUGCACACCUGGUAGAUCACUGCACUAGGUGCUUUUACUAUAAUAUUUUUUUACUUGUUUUAAAUACUUUGUUGUACGGUAUUUGCACUCUAGGCAAGAUCUCAAAUUUCUGCCUCAAUUUUUGACACAUGUUUAUGAUAGAAAUUAGAUUUUUUUUGUUAUAUGAACCCAUAAUCCUUAACAAUAUGACAUAUAUUUGGGCAUCUAUGUAUUUUGUUUAAACAGCGUUUAGGUAUAAAUGUACAGUUGUCCUUGGUAUCCAUGGAAAAUUUGUUCCAGGACCGCCAAAGAUACCAAAACCUGGAGAUGCUCAAGCCCUUUAUAUAAAAUGGCACAGUAUUUGCACAUAACCUAUGUACAUCCUCCCAUAUGUUCUAAAUCAUCUCUAGAUUCUUUACAAUACCCAACA